rnacentral:rRNA from 1 species
CAGUCGCACGGGAAUACAGAGGGUGCAAGCGUUAAUCGGAAUUACUGGGCGUAAAGCGCGCGUAGGUGGUUUGUUAAGUCGGAUGUGAAAUCCCCGGGCUCAACCUGGGAACUGCAUCCGAAACUGGCAAGCUAGAGUAUGGUAGAGGGUAGUGGAAUUUCCUGUGUAGCGGUGAAAUGUGUAGAUAUAGGAAGGAACACCAGUGGCGAAGGCGACUACCUGGACUGAUACUGACACUGAGGUGCGAAAGCGUGGGGAGCAAACAGGAUUAGAUACCCGAGUAGUCCCUGUCUCUUAUACC